UACGUAGGGUGCGAGCGUUAAUCGGAAUUACUGGGCGUAAAGCGUGCGCAGGCGGUUCGUUAAGUCAGAUGUGAAGGCCCCGGGCUCAACCUGGGAACUGCAUUUGAAACUGGCGGGCUUGAGUGCGGCAGAGGGGGGUGGAAUUCCGCGUGUAGCAGUGAAAUGCGUAGAGAUGCGGAGGAACACCGAUGGCGAAGGCAGCCCCCUGGGCCGACACUGACGCUCAGGCACGAAAGCGUGGGGAGCAAACAGG
rnacentral:rRNA from 1 species